rnacentral:rRNA from 1 species
CUACGGGAGGCAGCAGUAGGGAAUAUUGGACAAUGGGCGAAAGCCUGAUCCAGCAACACCGCGUGCACGAUGACGGCCUUCGGGUUGUAAAGUGCUUUUAGAGGAGAUGAGAAAGGACAGUAUCCUCUGAAUAAGCCUCGGCGAACUACGUGCCAGCAGCCGCGGUAAAACGUAGGAGGCAAGCGUUAUCCGGAUUUAUUGGGCGUAAAGCGCGUGCAGGCGGUCUAGCAAGUUGGAUGUGAAAGCUCCCGGCUCAACUGGGAGAGGUCGUUCAAUACUGUUAGACUAGAGAAUAGGAGAGGGAGGUGGAAUUCCGGGUGUAGUGGUGACAUGCGUAGAUAUCCGGAGGAACACCAGUGGCGAAAGCGGCCUCCUGGACUAUUUCUGACGCUAAGACGCGAAAGCUAGGGUAGCAAACGGGAUUAGAUACCCCAGUAGUC